rnacentral:rRNA from 1 species
GAUGAACGCUGGCGGCGUGCUUAACACAUGCAAGUCGAACGGUGAAGCCAAGCUUGCUUGGUGGAUCAGUGGCGAACGGGUGAGUAACACGUGAGCAACCUGCCUUGGACUCUGGGAUAAGCGCUGGAAACGGCGUCUAAUACUGGAUAUGAGCUCUCAUCGCAUGGUGGGGGUUGGAAAGAUUUUUCGGUCUGGGAUGGGCUCGCGGCCUAUCAGCUUGUUGGUGAGGUAAUGGCUCACCAAGGCGUCGACGGGUAGCCGGCCUGAGAGGGUGACCGGCCACACUGGGACUGAGACACGGCCCAGACUCCUACGGGAGGCAGCAGUGGGGAAUAUUGCACAAUGGGCGGAAGCCUGAUGCAGCAACGCCGCGUGAGGGAUGACGGCCUUCGGGUUGUAAACCUCUUUUAGCAGGGAAGAAGCGAGAGUGACGGUACCUGCAGAAAAAGCGCCGGCUAACUACGUGCCAGCAGCCGCGGUAAUACGUAGGGCGCAAGCGUUAUCCGGAAUUAUUGGGCGUAAAGAGCUCGUAGGCGGUUUGUCGCGUCUGCUGUGAAAUCCCGAGGCUCAACCUCGGGCCUGCAGUGGGUACGGGCAGACUAGAGUGCGGUAGGGGAGAUUGGAAUUCCUGGUGUAGCGGUGGAAUGCGCAGAUAUCAGGAGGAACACCGAUGGCGAAGGCAGAUCUCUGGGCCAUAACUGACGCUGAGGAGCGAAAGGGUGGGGAGCAAACAGGCUUAGAUACCCUGGUAGUCCACCCCGUAAACGUUGGGAACUAGUUGUGGGGACCAUUCCACGGUUUCCGUGACGCAGCUAACGCAUUAAGUUCCCCGCCUGGGGAGUACGGCCGCAAGGCUAAAACUCAAAGGAAUUGACGGGGACCCGCACAAGCGGCGGAGCAUGCGGAUUAAUUCGAUGCAACGCGAAGAACCUUACCAAGGCUUGACAUACACCAGAACACCGUAGAAAUACGGGACUCUUUGGACACUGGUGAACAGGUGGUGCAUGGUUGUCGUCAGCUCGUGUCGUGAGAUGUUGGGUUAAGUCCCGCAACGAGCGCAACCCUCGUUCUAUGUUGCCAGCACGUAAUGGUGGGAACUCAUGGGAUACUGCCGGGGUCAACUCGGAGGAAGGUGGGGAUGACGUCAAAUCAUCAUGCCCCUUAUGUCUUGGGCUUCACGCAUGCUACAAUGGCCGGUACAAAGGGCUGCAAUACCGUGAGGUGGAGCGAAUCCCAAAAAGCCGGUCCCAGUUCGGAUUGAGGUCUGCAACUCGACCUCAUGAAGUCGGAGUCGCUAGUAAUCGCAGAUCAGCAACGCUGCGGUGAAUACGUUCCCGGGUCU